rnacentral:rRNA from 1 species
GUGGGGAAUAUUGGGCAAUGGGGGAAACCCUGACCCAGCAACGCCGCGUGAAGGAAGAAGGCCUUCGGGUUGUAAACUUCUUUUACCAGGGACGAAGAACGUGACGGUACCUGGAGAAAAAGCAACGGCUAACUACGUGCCAGCAGCCGCGGUAAUACGUAGGUUGCAAGCGUUGUCCGGAUUUACUGGGUGUAAAGGGCGUGUAGGCGGAGAUGCAAGUUGGGAGUGAAAUCCCGGGGCUCAACCCCGGAACUGCUUUCAAAACUGCAUCCCUUGAGUAUCGGAGAGGCAAGCGGAAUUCCUAGUGUAGCGGUGAAAUGCGUAGAUAUUAGGAGGAACACCAGUGGCGAAGGCGGCUUGCUGGACGACAACUGACGCUGAGGCGCGAAAGCGUGGGGAGCAAACAGG